AUUGAACGCUGGCGGCAGGCCUAACACAUGCAAGUCGAACGAGUGGCGGACGGGUGAGUAAUGUCUGGGAACCUGCCUGAUGGAGGGGGAUAACUACUGGAAACGGUAGCUAAUACCGCAUACCAUCAGAUGUGCCCAGAUGGGAUUAGCUUGUUGGUGGGGUAACGGCUCACCAAGGCGACGAUCCCUAGCUGGUCUGAGAGGAUGACCAGGCAACAUGGAACUGAGAAACGGUCCAGAAUCCUACGGGAGGCAGCAGUGGGGAAUAGUGCACAAUGGGCGCAAGCCUGAACCAGCCAUGCCGCGUGUAUGAAGAAGGCCUUCGGGUUGUAAAGUACUUUCGGCGGGGAGGCGGUACCCGCAGAAGAAGCACCGGCUAACUCCGUGCCAGCAGCCGCGGUAAUAC
rnacentral:rRNA from 1 species